CACAGUCUCAGUUUCCCAGACCUCCUGCGAGUCAGGCUCUCCUCUGUGUCCUUGGCGUGUAUCAACAGGCUAAAUCCUCACAUCCACAGCCCCGUGUCCCUCUGCUCGGUCCCCCUGAGACUGAACCCCUGACCUAGGGGAGAGUGACCCCAUCCAUCCUGCCUGUGCCCCCCACUGAAGCUCCUGCUAUGGACAGCUCAGAAGUCAGGAGCCUCAGUGUCUCUCCUCUGCACAGUGACUCCUUGGGGACAGUGUCCGGCUCUGCUGUGUUGACCUCAUUGUGCAGAAAGGGGGUGCCCACCUCGUACCUGCUGGCAGGGGGAAUGAGAGGCUACCUGCUCACCCCACCUGCACCCCUGUCUCUCAUGGCCCCGAGUCCCACCUCUGAGCUACACAGACAUCCACAGCCUGUGACUCAGGGGUCUGGCCAGAUGGCACUCAUUUUCACCCUGCAGAAAAUGUCACCUAAGGGGAAGAGCAUUGAGAGUCAGGCAGGAAGUGGGGUGGGCCCUGCAUGGGGUGGGAAUCUGGGCGAGUCUGUCUCCUGCUCUGGCCUCAGGGGCCCAGGAGUGAACAUGGGGUAGUGGACGGUGGAUCUCCCAGGGCUGACCCAGGCCUGACAGUGUCUGUGUGUGAAGUUCCUCCUCGGGGGAGGUCACUGUUCUGACCUCACCCCUGUCUUCCUGUGGGGCCUCCUGUAAGUCUUGAGCCCUCACUUCCUGAGAGAACAGCCCUGAGGAACAGACGUUCCCUGGCGGCCCUGGCACCUCCAACCCCAGACAUGCUGCUGCUGCUGCUGCUGCUGCCCCUACUCUGGGGGAGGGAGAGGGUGGAGGGACAGAGGAAUAACCAGAAGGAUUACCCACUGACGAUGCAGGAGUCUGUGACGGUGCAGCAGGGCCUGUGUGUCCAUGUGCUGUGCUCCUUCUCCUACCCCUGGUAUGGCUGGACUUACUCUGACCCAGUUCAUGGCUACUGGUUCCGGGCAGGGGCCCGUACAGACCGGGAUGCUCUAGUGGCCACAAACAACCCAGCUCGGGCAGUGUGGGAGGAGACUCGGGACCGAUUCCACCUCCUUGGGGACCCACAGACCAAGAAUUGCACCCUGAGCAUCAGAGACGCCAGAAGCAGUGAUGCAGGGACGUACUUCUUUCGUGUGGAGAGAGGAAAGAUAAAAUGGAAUUAUAAGGAUGUCCUGCUCUCUGUGCAUGUGACAGCCCCAGGACCACGGCACCAGCCUCACCUGUCAGGUGACCUUCCCUGGGGCCAGUGUGACCACGAACAAGACCAUCCACCUCAACGUGUCCUACCCCCCUCAGAACUUGACCAUGACUGUCUUCCAAGGAAAUGGCACAGUAUCCACAGUCCUGGGAAAUGGCUCAUCUGUUUCAGUCCCAGAGGGCCCGUCUCUGCGCCUGGUCUGUGCAGUCGACAGCAAUCCGCCUGCCAGGCUGAGCCUGAGCUGGGGAGGCCUGACCCUGUGCCCUUCACAGCCCUCAAACCCGGGGGUGCUGGAGCUGCCUCGGGUGCACCUGAGGGAUGAAGAGGAAUUCACCUGCAGAGCUCAGAACCUUCUGGGCUCUCAGCAGGUCUCCCUGAACGUCUCCCUGCAGAGUAAAGCCACAUCAGGAGUGACUCAGGGGGCAGUCGGAGCUGGAGCCACAGCCCUGGUCUUCCUGUCCUUCUGCGUCAUCUUCGUUGUAGUGAGGUCCUGCAGGAAGAAAUCAGCAAGGCCAGUCGCGGGCGUGGGGGAUAUGGGCACAGAGGAUGCAAACGCCGUCAGGGGCUCAGCCUCUCAGGGAUCACUGACUGAACCCUGGGCAGAAGACAGUCCCCCAGACCAGCCUCCCCCAGCUUCUGCCCGCUCCUCAGUGGGGGAAGAAGAGCUCCAGUAUGCAUCCCUCAGCUUCCAGACGGUGAAGCCUCGGGACUUGAAGGGACAGGAGGCCACUAACACCGAGUACUCGGAGAUCAAGAUCCACAAAUGAGAAACUGCAGAGACUCAGCCUGAUUGAGCGAUCACAGCCCCUCCAGGCAUGGGAGAAGUCAGAGGCUGGUUCUUGUAGAAUUAACAGCCCUCAAAGUGAUGAGCUAGGCACAUAGUGAAAAGCACACAGGCUUUGGAGUCAAAGUAUCGCCAACCUGAAUCCACACUGUGCCGUCCUUUUUAUUUUUUUGACUAAAAGACAGACAAAUUCCUA